rnacentral:rRNA from 1 species
UUCGGGGUGGAUCAGUGGCGAACGGGUGAGUAACACGUGGGCAAUCUGCCCUGCACUCUGGGACAAGCCCUGGAAACGGGGUCUAAUACCGGAUAUGACCUGAGGAUGCAUGUUCUCGGGUGGAAAGCUCCGGCGGUGCAGGAUGAGCCCGCGGCCUAUCAGCUUGUUGGUGGGGUGAUGGCCUACCAAGGCGACGACGGGUAGCCGGCCUGAGAGGGCGACCGGCCACACUGGGACUGAGACACGGCCCAGACUCCUACGGGAGGCAGCAGUGGGGAAUAUUGCACAAUGGGCGAAAGCCUGAUGCAGCGACGCCGCGUGAGGGAUGACGGCCUUCGGGUUGUAAACCUCUUUCAGCAGGGAAGAAGCGCAAGUGACGGUACCUGCAGAAGAAGCACCGGCUAACUACGUGCCAGCAGCCGCGGUAAUACGUAGGGUGCGAGCGUUGUCCGGAAUUAUUGGGCGUAAAGAGCUCGUAGGCGGCUUGUCGCGUCGGAUGUGAAAGCCCGGGGCUUAACUCCGGGUCUGCAUUC